UGUUAAUAUUGAAAGAUCCCCAAAGAGAGACCCUUACUCAAGUCUCGGGAAGUCGCGGACCCCAGACACAGAGAGACCA
rnacentral:pre_miRNA from 14 species